AUUGAACGCUGGCGGCAUGCUUUACACAUGCAAGUCGAACGGUAACAGGCCGCAAGGUGCUGACGAGUGGCGAACGGGUGAGCAAUGCAUCGGAACGUGCCCAGUCGUGGGGGAUAACGCAGCGAAAGCUGUGCUAAUACCGCAUACGAUCUAUGGAUGAAAGCGGGGGACCGUAAGGCCUCGCGCGAUUGGAGCGGCCGAUGUCAGAUUAGGUAGUUGGUGGGGUAAAGGCUCACCAAGCCAACGAUCUGUAGCUGGUCUGAGAGGACGACCAGCCACACUGGGACUGAGACACGGCCCAGACUCCUACGGGAGGCAGCAGUGGGGAAUUUUGGACAAUGGGCGCAAGCCUGAUCCAGCAAUGCCGCGUGCAGGAAGAAGGCCUUCGGGUUGUAAACUGCUUUUGUACGGAACGAAAAGGUCUGGGUUAAUACCCUGGGCUGAUGACGGUACCGUAAGAAUAAGCACCGGCUAACUACGUGCCAGCCGCCGCCGUAA
rnacentral:rRNA from 1 species